AUUGAACGCUGGCGGCAUGCCUUACACAUGCAAGUCGAACGGCAGCACGGGUGCUUGCACCUGGUGGCGAGUGGCGAACGGGUGAGUAAUGCAUCGGAACAUGUCCUGUAGUGGGGGAUAGCCCGGCGAAAGCCGGAUUAAUACCGCAUACGAUCUACGGAUGAAAGCGGGGGACCUUCGGGCCUCGCGCUAUAGGGUUGGCCGAUGGCUGAUUAGCUAGUUGGUGGGGUAAAGGCCUACCAAGGCGACGAUCAGUAGCUGGUCUGAGAGGACGACCAGCCACACUGGGACUGAGACACGGCCCAGACUCCUACGGGAGGCAGCAGUGGGGAAUUUUGGACAAUGGGCGAAAGCCUGAUCCAGCAAUGCCGCGUGUGUGAAGAAGGCCUUCGGGUUGUAAAGCACUUUUGUCCGGAAAGAAAUCCUUGGCCCUAAUACGGUCGGGGGAUGACGGUACCGGAAGAAUAAGCACCGGCUAACUACGU
rnacentral:rRNA from 1 species